rnacentral:misc_RNA from 1 species
UCCGAGUUGACCCCGGCAGUCUCCCAUGAGUCCCCACCAUAACGUGCUGGCAACAUAGGACGAGGGUUGCGCUCGUUGCGGGACUUAACCCAACAUCUCACGACACGAGCUGACGACAGCCAUGCAGCACCUGUGUCCGAGUUCCCUUUCGGGCACACCCACAUCUCUGCGGGCUCUCGGACAUGUCAAGGGUAGGUAAGGUUUUUCGCGUUGCAUCGAAUUAAUCCACAUAAUCCACCGCUUGUGCGGGUCCCCGUCAAUUCCUUUGAGUUUUAGCCUUGCGGCCGUACUCCCCAGGCGGGAUGCUUAAUGCGUUAGCUUCGGCACGGACGGAGUCGACACCGCCCACACCUAGCAUCCAUCGUUUACGGCGUGGACUAC